rnacentral:pre_miRNA from 11 species
UCCUCGCAGUGUCAAAGUGCUCAUAGUGCAGGUAGUUAAUGCACCCAAAUCUACUGUAAUGUGGGCACUUACAGUACUGCCGGAU